UACGAAGGGGGCUAGCGUUGCUCGGAAUCACUGGGCGUAAAGGGUGCGUAGGCGGGUCUUUAAGUCAGGGGGGAAAUCCUGGAGCUCAACUCCAGAACUGCCUUUGAUACUGAAGAUCUUGAGUUCGGGAGAGGUGAGUGGAACUGCGAGUGUAGAGGUGAAAUUCGUAGAUAUUCGCAAGAACACCAGUGGCGAAGGCGGCUCACUGGCCCGAUACUGACGCUGAGGCGCGAAAGCGUGGGGAGCAAACAGG
rnacentral:rRNA from 1 species